rnacentral:rRNA from 1 species
AUUGAACGCUGGCGGCAGGCCUAACACAUGCAAGUCGAGCGGAGCUGCGGACGGGCGAGUGAUGCCUAGGAAUCUGCCUGGUAUUGGGGGAUACCGUCAGGACACGGGCGCUAAUCCCGCAUCCUUUUUGCUGAGCCUAGGUCGGAUUAGCUAGUUGGUAGGGUAAGGGCCUACCAAGGCGACGAUCCGUAACUGGUCUGAGAGGGUGAUCAGUCACACUGGAACUGAGACACGGUCCAGACUCCUACGGGAGGCAGCAGUGGGGAAUAUUGGACAAUGGGAGAAAGCCUGAUCGAGCCAUGCCGCGUGUGUGAAGAAGGUCUUCGGAUUGGAAAGCACUUUAAGUUGGGAGGCGUUACCUACAGAAAAAGCACCGGCUAACUUCGUGCCAGCAGCCGCGGUAAUAC